CGUUUGUUGCUGUGUUAAUUACAGUUCUUCCCGGAGUCGGAGGCGAGAACAGCCCUUGUGGAACCGUUUCAAGUGGAACGUUCCACCAGGAGGAAAACAACUGCCUUCCUCCCCAUCUGGGCGGGAUUCCACCCCGCAGCUCUCGGCGAAAGCCGAGCCGGAGAUGUUGCUGAAUGUGCACAGGGUCGGGUCGUAUCGCUGGUGCUGGAGGAGUCAGGAUUCCUGGACACGGUGGCCCCGCUCCAGAGUCCACGGUGCAGCCCAGCCCUACGCGGCCUGUAAAGUGAUAACGUGUACUGGGGAUCGAACUCGGGUUCUUGCGCUUUCACAGCAGGCAGCGAAACCACUGAGCUAAAUCUCCGGCCCCAGCACCCUCCUUUUCUUCGUUGUGUGUUUCCCUUUUAUGCUCCUUGUUAUGAGGUGAACUGUGUCCUCCCAAAAUGCAUACGUGAAACCCUAUCUCCCAGCACCUCGGAUGUGACUGUAUUUGGUUGAUAGGGGCUUUAGAGAGGUGAUGAGGGUGAGCCCCAACCCAAUACUUAGAAUACUGGUGCCCUUCUAUGGAGAGACUGGACCGAAGAUAAACACAGAGGAAGUCACAUGAAGACACAGAAGGGUCAUCUGCGAGCCAUGGAGAGACCAAUUCUGAUGGCACCUUGGCCUUGGACUUCUGGCCUCCAGACUUAUGAGAAAGUUUUGUUGAGAAGCCACCCAUUCGUGGCACUUGGUUGUGGUCAUCUUUGAAAGCCAGUGACUCCUCCAGAGACUGUGCCCCUGGGCCACCAUCCAUCCAUGUGGAGCUGUGGGCCCUCCAUGCUGCCAGCUCACUCAGUGCCUACAUUUCACCAGGACUGUUUCCCACCCCUGGGCCUCUGCUUUGUUCUGGGUGGUGUUUGUUUUCAGAACUGUUGUUCCCUGAGAAUGGAUGAAGAGCACUGCUCUGUGUCUUGGGAGACUCCUGCAGUGGGGAGGGACUCUGGUGUCCAGGGCUGGGCUUGUGGGAGCCAGAGUGGUCAGAGACACCUCCCUGAGCUCAGUUCACAGCUGUCAGAGGACUGUUGAGCCACCUGUUCUCAGCACCAUCUCUGGCGGUGGAUUCCUCAUGUGCUGCCCUCUGUGAGCAUGCACAGAACAGAAAGAAAUGUGUUCCUCCUCACUAGCAAGGCAGGAAUGUGGGAUAUCAUUUCACUUAUAAUUCAUGCUUCUUCUUCUUCCUCUUUUUGAAAUUAAU
rnacentral:lncRNA from 1 species